rnacentral:pre_miRNA from 1 species
AUACUGCUCUUUGUGUUCACUGUCUGCCUUGAUGUUGCACCAAAAUUUCAUAAGGCACGCGGUGAAUGCCAAGAGACGGUAGU